AUCGAACGCUGGCGGCAGGCCUAACACAUGCAAGUCGAACGAGUGGCGGACGGGUGAGGAAUGUCUGGGAAACUGCCCGAUGGAGGGGGAUAACUUCUGGAAACGGUAGUUAAUCCCGCUUCCCAUCGGAUGGUCCCAGAUGGCGUUAGCUAGUGGGUGGGGUAACGGCUCACCUAGGCGACGAUCCCUAGCUGGUCUGAGAGGAUGACCAGCCACACUGGAACUGGGACACGGUCAUGACUCCUACGGGAGGCAGCAGUGGGGAAUAUUGCACAAUAGGCGCAAGCCUGAUGCAGCCAUGCCGCGUGUAUGAAGAAGGCCUUCGGGUUGUAAAGUACUUUCAGCGAGGAGGCGUUACUCGCAGAAGAAGCACCGGCUAACUCCGUGACAGCCGCCGCGGUAAUAC
rnacentral:rRNA from 1 species